CCGACUCGCUCUUCAGCACCGGACGAGUAAAGACUGACUGCCGGGAGGUCUAACCCGAGAGGCGGCGGGUGUGCUGUGUGCGCACACCGGCAAAGAAGGCUGGAGCGUGGGCAAGGUUUGAAAAUAAGCAGCAAGAGGUCCAGAGGUCAACGUUUCAGAGUGUGAAUUUACUGGCCAUUGAAAAAGGACAUGGACGUUAAAAGCCACAUACUUCGGCAGGUUGACGCCCAGCAGAGCCAAAAAGGGAAUCAAAUUCAAAGCAUCUGAAGAUAGCCAGGGCCAAGGGGCACACUCCAACACUCAGACAUCAUUUACAAAAGGGAUGUUCUCUUGACACAACAUGCUCUUGAAUACAGGGCGGGAGUCAAGCCUAGAAAUGGAAUUACUAGAAUGGACCUAUCCCUUCAGACCACUGCAAUUUAUUUGGAGUGGAUCACAGACCAACACUACCACCACAUUGGGUCUGGACUGCGAGGGACCGCCGCCACUGACAAACCAAUCUGCACCAAUCACAUCCAUCGUCCAUAACAAACAGGGCUGGCAGGGGUAUUCAGGGUGUGCAACUUUUAUUUUCUGUUAAAUAAAUAAAAUACAAUUUAAGCAAAGAUUAUAUCUUUACAGAAAACGUGUUGUGAUUGGAGCUCUGGAUUUGCUAUGCUGCAUUUCUUUUUACAGAAAUAGCAGAGAUGUGCUUCAGAUUAAAUAUGUUUUCUUUUCCGUGCCUUGUAGCCAACUACUGAAUAUGGUGCAAAUGUAUGCUCAGAUAUGUCACCAUGUGAAGAAGCACAAUGAUUUUCGAUGCCUUGAACAGGUCAAAUCAUUUGGGCACUGGACAUAGGUCAUGAGUUAGAUUUAGUACAUUUUCGAUAAGACAUAUGAUGAUGAAUAUUACUUAUCAUGUAAGGAUAUCUAUUGAAAUUGGAGAAAUACGAAUCCAUAAAUGAUCAGUUUCAUAAAGUGCCCUGGGGGGAGGAUCAUAUCCCCCCACUUCUCUCUAUUCCCUCCACAGUUUAUGACAGUCGUAAAAACUCUGCUUCUGCGUCUGUAGUAUUGAGAUUGGAAUGUGUGACUGUGGGACACAGAGAGAGACUUGGUCAAACUCCUAAUCCCCAAAAUGUGAGAAUUAAACAGUAUUUCUACUUUUGAGAAUGUGGGAAUGGUCCGUGGACACUGUCAUGACAAGUGUGUUUCAUUUGCUCACCUCAUGAAGGACAGGAAACACACAUAACUGUAUCUCCUAAAGUGUACAUUUCCCAGCUGUCAGGUUGACAUCUAAAUUAAACAUGAAACCUUUUGCGAAAAGAUGUAAUGUGAUGUUAACCUUCUAAAUGUGAGUAUGGAUUUUCAUAUAAAGAUUAACUAGUCAGUGGCCACACCCCCGUAAACCCAAAC